rnacentral:rRNA from 1 species
AACGAACGCUGGCGGCAUGCCUAACACAUGCAAGUCGAACGAAGUCUUCGGACUUAGUGGCGCACGGGUGCGUAACGCGUGGGAAUCUGCCCUUGGGUACGGAAUAACUCAGAGAAAUUUGUGCUAAUACCGUAUAAUGUCUUCGGACCAAAGAUUUAUCGCCCAAGGAUGAGCCCGCGUAAGAUUAGCUAGUUGGUGGGGUAAAAGCCUACCAAGGCGACGAUCUUUAGCUGGUCUGAGAGGAUGAUCAGCCACACUGGGACUGAGACACGGCCCAGACUCCUACGGGAGGCAGCAGUGGGGAAUAUUGGACAAUGGGCGAAAGCCUGAUCCAGCAAUGCCGCGUGAGUGAUGAAGGCCGUAGGGUUGUAAAGCUCUUUUACCAGGGAUGAUAAUGACAGUACCUGGAGAAUAAGCUCCGGCUAACUCCGUG